rnacentral:lncRNA from 1 species
AUGUGGCAGAGCCGGCGAGGGGCGUGUCCGGGGGCGCCGGAAGCGGCUGGAUCGGGCGGGACUCUUGGUCUUCACCGCCCACCGCUCCGGGCCUGCGAGGUUCGCCCAGCCUCUCAGUCGCUACGUACCCUGGCGUCCACACUSGAGACGUGUCCCGCGUCUGUCCGCCUCCCCGCUUCGCCCCUCACUACUUGGGCGGAGCCAGAGGCCCCCAAGACCCCCUACGGGUGCAGCCCGAUCCCGGGCGCCCUAGGUGGACCCYGCUCGGCUCGUAGCUGUCCCCUUAGCACCCCAGACACUGUGGCCUUAAGAGGAAGCUCCUGUCUUUGCGUCCGGGAUCCCGCUUGGACGCCCGGAUCCCCGCGAGCUGCAGGAAGGACUUUGCUCGCUGCUGUGUUUUCCAGGCGUAGAGAGGUUAAACAAAUUGACCAUUGGCUACUGCUGGUAAACCUUUUUUCCUUCCUUGCCUUCGACUUGUCCAGUAAAGUGACCAGGGCUCGAUCCAGAACUCCUAUGUACCAGAUCAACCCCAGGAAAGUGAGAAUGCUCAAUGACGCCACUGUGGAAGGGUGUGCACCAAGCGUACCUGACCUUUUUCCUCUCUGGGCAAAGUCAGUUUCCCCUCAGCCAGUUUCUCCCAUCCAGGUCCUUUCCAACUUUUUGUUCUUUCAUCUCUCUUCCAGUUCUUUACCAAAUAAAUUAAAGCAUGUUUCUUUGUGAAAGAAAUGUAAUUAAUUUACUAUGUGACUUAGUCAAAUUCAUAGUUCAAAAUGUAUAAAAUUGUGUGUACAUAAAGAAUGAAAUAGUGGCAUUAGCAGGUAAAUGGAUGGAAAUGGAAACCAUCAUGCUAAGGGAAAUAAGUUAGACUCCAAACAUAGUGUUGAGUGGUUCUUUCAUAUGUGGAAGCUAAAGUAAAAUAAGGGAAAGAAGGCAGUGUCACAGAUUGGAUAUCAAAUAUAUAGGGAAGAUCAGUAGAGUAGGAGGUGGAGAAAGGAAGGAGGAAGUGUGAGAAAGGGGAGGAAAUUUGGAAUGAAUCUUUAACAAAAUCACAUUACAUGCAUACAUAAAUGUGCCAAAAGAAUAUCCACCUUUAUAUGUAGAAAAUGUCAAUCAAAAAUAAAUAAAAGAGCCAAAGAGAGUAGAGGAAGGAG